rnacentral:lncRNA from 1 species
AAAUAUUAGCCUUAAGUGCAGUGCAAAGACAAACAGCAGCUUCCAAAUCCACAAGAUUUCCAAUAAGACUACAACAUGGUUUUACAGGUGGAGUUCCAAGUGUUACAUUUAAUAAACCAUUAAGCACAUUAGCACAAAUACCUAAUUUUAAGGCAUCUUUUGGGCAUUUGGUUUGAGAAUUAGGAGAUGGACUUGGUGUUGGUGUUGGCUUUGGAUUUGGUUUAAUUGGGCCAGGGCAAGUGUAGCAUGCACUAACCAUAGUGAAAAAAAGAACAUUGAAUACAAGAAAAAGGGCAAGUGACUUAGCCAUUUUGCAAUUGAUUUAAUUUGCUAUUUAGAGGAAUGAUGAAGAAUGUAUUAAUAUGGUUGGAUUUUUAUAGGGUUCAUGUAUAAGGAAAGGAGAUUAAAAUAAUAGCAAGAAAAACAUUUUUUUAACCAUGUGUAAGUCAGGAAUUUAACCAACAUGGAUUGUAAUGGAACGAUUGAAAUUCCUUCACUAGAAGUGGAUGUAACACUUUGUUAUCGGAUUCAUCUAUCUAUCUGAAUCCAAUACUUUUGAUUGUGAUGUAAAUGAUUUAUGAGUAAAGAUUAAUGAAUUUUUUAAUAAAUAGUAAAUAUGAACUGAUAUAAUGAGUUCAAAUUAAAGAUAAAAACUUUAAAUGCUGAACCAACAAAACUUUUAUCCUGGAUGCGUCAGCUCCAUCCUUAUUUAGAGAUCUUAGGUUCGAGUCUCAGAAAAUGCAAUAUCGGUACCCCGGGGCAACCUUCCCUCAUUCACUCAAUCCAACUCAAUGCACAAACUCAAAUUUAGUCAUGCCCCAAUACAAAUAUCAAAUACCAGCGGGAACCAAAACAAAAAAAGGUCAGGAAUUUAGGCUGGCUAAGAAUUAGUGUAGCAUAUUUUUGUACAUCUUGGAAGCAUCAAGGCACAUGUGAAGAAGGAAAACAAGUUGCCAUGUUCCUCUUGCUGAGUUCCAAAAUCUAGGAAUUUUAUUUGUUUUUUUUUCUAGCCCGUGAUUUUUGCCCAGAAUGCCAUGGUACUUGAUUAGUGUCUUUUUAUUUUUUAUUUUUAGUGUUAAUGAUUUAUUUUAUGUACUUUUUAAAAAACUAAAAAUAAAAAAUGGGCGAAGGAUGGAAGAGGAGAUUACAAGAUAGGGAAUAGAAUGCUCACUAACGUGUCUUUUAACAUGUUUUAGUAGGUAACUUACCUUAAUUUCCUAGUUAAUAAUUUAUCUCAUUUGAUAAAAAAAUAUUUAUGCAGGAUGUUUAUAUCAAAUUAAUAGAUAUAUGUCAUAUGUUUGUAUAUAUUUUUAAUAAAUAAAUAUUAUCUCAUUCAAUUACUUAACUAUGAUAAAUUGAUACUAUUUGGUGUAAACAACCGAUGGAUAAGUUUUUACUAUCUCUUUUUACCGACGGUUACAUAUAAAAUUAUCCAAGUGAUCUAAUAACGUAAAACCAUUUACACUAAUAAAGUAUAUGAACUAUACUCAAUUAGUAAUAUGCUUUGAAAAUAUUGGGCAUCUAAUUUUUUCUUUUUAAUAACCCCAAAAAUUCAUGCAAAAAAAAGAAGAAACUUGAUGCUAAAUUUCAGAUACGAUUAUUAUUUGUAUAAAUUUUAGGAAUCACAUAGUUUUAAUAUGAAAUUACAAUAUGUCCCUAUUUAGUUUGUAAUUAUAUUAAUUCCUGAAAAAGUAAAACAAACCGGAUACAUAAUAUGUAGCUCGGAUACAUUAAAAACUAGCUCGGAUACAUGAUAAAAUAAAUCGAAUACAUAAUAUGUAGCUCGGAUACAUUAUAAAAUAAUUUAGAAUUGGGAAAGAAAUAAGAGAUUUUAGAGGUUUUUAGAAAUAGAAGGAAAUAUUAGAAAUAAGGGAAACAUAAGAUGUGUAUUUCAGUAAUUUUUCCAGUUACAAUCAAAAAGGCAUGACAUUAAUUUAAAUGGCUAAACUUGGAACAUUUUAUACAUGCGGCUAUGUCUUAAAUGAAGACCCUAAAAUUGGCCCAUGAAAAAUAGUCCAGUAAGCCCAAAAGCAAGUAAAAACAAGUUUGGGCUGGGAAAUGAGUCAAGGGCAACUUACCUAAAAUACAUCAUAUAUAGAAAAUAUUUAUCAUUUAUAGCUAUUUAAUUUUAAUACAUGUAUAAUUCACUUUUAAUAUAUAGUGUAGAUUUUAAAAAUAGCUUUAAAAUCUGUUGUGAUUUUAUCAUUAAAGAGCUCGAACCUAAUAUGAUAUCUUGAUAAUCCGUCAAUAAAUAAAAUUAUCAUAUUUUUUUAUUGUUUAGUAGUAUAAUUUAUCCGUAAUUAGUUUUUUUAAAACUAAUAUUAUUAUUAUUAUUAUUAUUAUUAUUAUUAUCUCUAGAUCUUGUCUAGACCAAAAGAUUAAGGAAAUUAAAAUAAAAAAUGGAUAGAGAAGAAUGGGAGCUGUCCUGUCACAAUUGGUUGAAUUUCUAGGCAGCUAUUGCGCAGUUUAUGCAUAAAACAACAAAACAAACAAAUAAAUAGCAUAGUGGAUCAAGUUGUUUUCAUUAAAUUUUCAAAAUUUAAGUACAAUUUAUUUUUAUUUUCCAAACCAUGAUAGUUUACUUUGAAUAAAUGAACUAAAUACAAAAAAAAGUGUCUAUUCCUGUCACUAUUAGAAAAGUCCUUAUUAUAUGAGGAUUUUAUUUUAGGAACUAUCUCCAAAAUUUUAAUCUAAAAUUCGUACAUUCUAGAAUAUGUAAUAGUUCAAGGCCGACAUGUUUUUUCAAACCCGGACGAGCAACUAUGUAGUUUACUUUCAAUAUAUGAACACUCAUCAAUAGAUAUGUUGUAGCGGGUGAAACUGAAUCUCUAUUAAUUAGAGCCUUGAAUAUGAAAGAUAUUGAAUAUCGAAUAAAAACACGAAUAAGUGUUAAAGGAUAUAUGUUCCUAUGAUUAUGAAUCGCCAAAUAAAAAGUUAAGGUUGAAAAUAUUUAAAUAAUAUACUUAUCCAAUCAUAACUUUGCAUUUGCAUCUUUGACGAUAAAUUGUCAAUAUUUUCGGUGAUUUUUUCAAAUUUUUUUGCCACGAUCUAUCAAUACCACACAUAUUAUAGUGUGUGCUAAAAACAGAUAUAAAAUUAAUUGAGAACCUUAAUUAAUAUCAGUAUUCACACUUUGACCCAAAAGAAUAAUAUUAUUGUUCUUCCUAGUAAUUUUCUUUUUCCAUAUUGUGCUUCUAAUAUUGACUUCACACAUAUAUUGAUGAAAAACUUGAACAUAUAUAGGCCACACAAUCUCCUCUACAAAAGAGAAAAGUGAUGACAUUAGACUAUCUAGUUAUUCUGUCUCAAAAUAAUUAUCAUAUUUUAAAGUUGCAUUAGAUCAAAUUAUAUAAAAAAAUACUACAAGUUGCAAUUCAAUUCAUUUCAUUUCAUUAUGAUGAUGAAAAUAUAUUUUUUGUAGUAUUGAUGAAGGUUCAUAUAAUUUGAUUCUCAAAAAAUAAAAUAUGACAAGUAUUUUAGGACGAAAAAGUAUUCAACUAGUUGCACAAAUUAAAUAAGUUAAUUUUUUUUUUAUGAAAACAACAUUUUAGAUUAUUUAUAUUUUCCCAUAAAAUGGAAUGAAUGCAUUGACUUGAAAUGGUGAGCCCUAAUUAAUGAGAUAUAGUUUUGAAUUUUGUGUACCUUAACGAUGGAGCACGAUGAGAAGUGUCUCAUUAUUUCAGAAUGCCUUCUUCAAUUGCUCGAAAUUAAUAACGGAUUUAGAACUUAAAAUUAAUAAUUUUUUAUAAUAAUUUUAAAUUAAUAUAUAGUAAUAACUAAAUCAACCAUAAUAUGCAAAAAUAAAAUAAUAUUAUAUUGUUAUCAUAGAAUGGUGUACCACGUUACUAGGGUCAUCUCAACAAGUUUGGGGGCCUAAAGCCAAACAUUAUAAAGAGACCCUAUUUUUUUAAGUUGAUAAAUAUAAAUUGAAUAAUUAUAAUAUACUAGUGUAAUCCUACGCCUUCUAAGUCGAACAUGUUGCAUAGGGCUUGCCUAGUGCGUUUUACAUCCCCGGUGUGGUUUGCAAGCUAUGACAUAGUGGGGGGUUUACCCAGUGCGCACAAAGUGUUCACCACAGAGUGUUCACCCGAAUGACAGAGGUUGUGGCAGAGGUUGUAGCGACUGCGGGUUGUCCUAGGUUCCAAAAGAAAAAAGUUGGAAUAAUAAAACAUGACUCAAAAAUUUAAAAAUAUGAUGAUAUUAAAAUAGUGUAAGCGAUGAAUUUGAUAAGUAAAUAAAUAAUAUUAAAAUAGUGUUGAUUAGUUUUAGUGCUUGAAAUUUGAAUAAGACACAAAAACAAAUUUGAUCUUCUUAUAAACACACAACAAUAGAUAUCACAUAAUGUAGAAUGUUUGAACGUUUGAGAGACUUAAGAAUAUUCAAUAAUGAAAAAAUAAAAAAUAGUGAAAGGAGAAUAAAGAAAAGUAAGUAUAAGAACACAAUACUGUUGAUUCAUGAUAAUCGUCAAAAUAUAAACGAGCUAGACAACAAAAUAGAUAGCCACAUGCGAAACUAGAAAGGAUACUAUAAUUAACUAGCCACAUAAGAAUCUAGAAAAGACACUACAAUCAACUAAACAAUAUUCAAUUUCUCAAUUAAUAUUUUCUAUACAAAAAAAUAUUUUCAAAUUUAUCAAUACAUGAUUUUUUUUAACUAUAUAUAUAUAUAUAUAUAUAUAUACAUACAUCUUUGAGAGAAAAUGGGGGCCCAAGCGAUUGCUUUAGUGACCUUAUGGUUGAGACGACCUGCACGUUACCAUCUAUAUUACUUUAUUAAUCACGUUAUUAACUCGAGCAUAAAAUAUUGAUCACAGGACCCCUGAUGAUAGCACUUGUUACUAAGGCUAAUUUCUCAUUAGCACAUUAUUAAUAUGUGAAAUCACGGCUUAAUUUUUCCUAAUUUUAAUUAUUUAUUAUGCAUGCAUGUCAUUCUCUACCAUAUAUCAUCCUGCUCUAGAGCCAUAAUUACUGUCUUUUAGUGUUAGGUAACUAAGUUUAAUUUGCAUAUAAGAACAUAUGUAGUUAUGUUAAAAAGAUUAAUUUAAAUUAUAUAAAAUGACAACAUGAAAUAUAAAACUUUUAUACUAUUAAUAUAAUUUACUGUUUUGACCGUUCAUUAUUUAUCAUAUCUUGCAUGUUGUAACAAUAUUUGUUACAAAAAUAUACUUGUAAGAAUUAAUCUUGAUGGGAUCCAGGUUUUGGCACAGGUCCAACAUAUUCAAGAACAACGUUCAAAUAAUUUAAGUCCCAUGCAUGUGGAAAUAAAGGAUAAAUAAUUUAUUUUUGAGGAAGAAGAUCAUAUGAUAUUAGACAACUAAUAAAAUCCACCAAAAUAAAGAUUUAUAAUUCAAGAAUAGUAGUAUCUCAAGUUGCAUUUGCCAGCUCCUUGUCUACACAAUAUUCUCUACAUAUCCACAUGGGACUUUCUCAAUUUUUUGAAAAAUGGAAAAAUAAAAUUAAAAAAAAAUCAGAAUUUCCAUCUAUAAAUAGCCACUCAUUUCAUAAUCUCAAACACCAAACAAACAACAUUUUCACUACUAAUUAACCACAUUAAAUUGUUGAGAGUGCUAAUUUCUUAACUUUUAAAAAUGUCUAAGUUUGGUGCAUACUCAAUUGCCCUUGUUCUCACAUUGAACAUUCUUUUUUCACUAUGGUUAGUUCCACUAAUGUCCCAUGCCCACCACCCCCACACCCCAAACCCCACUACCCUACCCCCACACCCUCUACCCCCUCCACCCCAUCCUCAAAGGGUAAGUGCCCAAAGGACACACUAAAGCUAAAUGCUUGUGCCAAUUUGUUGGGCGACUUAUUGCACCUUGUUAUAGGAAGUAGUCCAGCUAAGACUGAAUGUUGCUCUCUAAUUGAAGGACUUGUUGACCUUGAUGCUGCUGUUUGCCUUUGCACUGCUCUUAAAGCCAAUGUGUUGGGAAUUAAUCUAAAUAUUCCACUUUCACUCAGCCUGUUGCUCAACAAUUGUGGCAAAUAUGCACCCAAGAACUUCCAAUGCAAAUAAGAAGCCAAAUUUCCAAUUCAUAUAGUUUAAUUUCUUUCAGUGUGUUUGAUGUUGUGUAUGCUUAUACUAGUUAUUUAGAAGGGAGGCUAUAGUUAUUGCCUUCUUUUCAUGAAAGAAAUGUGAUCAUCUUUUGAAGUUUAUGUUAAAAUGUUUUGAUAUUAUAAGGACAUGGAGUAUACUAUUGAUGGGCUAAAAUUUCUUCUAUGCAUGUUGCUUUUUAUUAUAUUAUACUAUGAUCAAGACAUUUAAAUCUCUAUAUAACUCCAUAUUUUAAUAUAAAAUAUAAAUGCCCAAGAUGCUAUUAAUUCUCUAAAGUCUAAAGCAACUAAAUUUAAUGAGGUACUCCCGGGACUAAAUAUAAAUUGAUCUGAAAUCUACUUCAAAUCCAAUAGUGUACUUAUAAGUACAUAAAAAUAUAUUGAAUCAAUUCUUUUUAAUGAAUAGAUCCUAUUAAUUAGAAUUAUAAAUAUGUAAUUAAAAGUAUUUAAGUAGAAAAGAUACUAUGAAUCAUAAAACUAUAAUGAAAUAUAUUAUUAACCCAUACUUUGGAUUUGUAAAAGAGUCGAUGUAAGACAUUCUACACUACAUAAGAAUGUCAAAACACAUACAGAGAGAGCAAAAUCGCAGCAUAAAAUUUGUCCAAGUUGCUUUUCUUUUUGACACUUUUCGUUUCUGAGAGUUAAUUUGAUUAAACUUUGAAGUUAAAUUGGAUUAGAAUAACUAAAAAAAUUUAAAUUUAAAUUAUAGAUAUUCAAAAAUAUAUAAAAGAAAAAAAAUUGUAUUUGUUCCUAUAUCAAUAUGAUGAAUCGAAAAAAGUUCAUAAGCCUUUUUUUAAAAUAAAAAAUUCUGGGAAGGGGAGUUAAGGGAAAAUGUGGAGAGAAUUAUAAAAGGAAGCUGACUGUCACCAAUAAAGUAAGAGUUAAGUAGUCAACCAAUCGAACUACUAAGAGAAUUAUAAAGGGGGUUUAUUUGGCAGAAAGUUAUACUCACCAAUCAUCUCCCUCUGUCCCUAAUUACUUGUCCUAUUUUUUUUUUUAGUUGUCUCUAAUUACUUGUCCUAUUUUUUUUUUUAGUUGUCUCUAAUUACUUGUCCAUUUUUUUUUUAGUUGUCUCUAAUUACUUGUCCAUUUUGACAAAUCAAGAAAAGACAAUUUCUUUUUACCUAUUACCUGAAUUAAUUACUUUGAAAAAGGUAGAACUUCUUGAAAAUCUUAAGUUUUUAAUUCAUGCACUUCAUAAUUAAUAGGGGUAAAAUGAUAAACUCACUAUGUCAAUAAAUGUUUUCUUAAUAGGUGUGUCAAUUCAAAAGUGGACAUGUAAUUAGGGACAGAGAAAGUACCUUUUAAGUAUAUAUAGUAGAUAUUACACCUCUUUGGCUUCUUUAUGUAUCUAGUUUUUCAUAUUUUGAAUCUUUUAAUGAAAAUUCUGACACUGUCACUAGUAGAGAGGGAUACAAACUGAAAGUGAUAAUAAGAAAUUUAUUAUUUAUUUCCAAAGGGCACACAAAGAGGUGUCAUUCCAACAAUGAGCAAUCCAAAACAAAUCACAACCUUGCACCUAACAAGAUGUUUAGUGCAUAAACAAAUAGAACAUCAGAAAUUGCUAAACAAAUGAAUAUCAAAAACACAAAAGGCAGAGAACCAUUUAAGCACAAAUGAAUCCCUUUGGAACAUCCUUGCUACAAACAUUAAGAAGUAAGCUAAGUGAAAUAGGGAUAUUAAGGUUAAUCCCCAAAAUAUUAGCCUUAAGUGCAGUGCAAAGACAAACAGCAGCUUCCAAAUCCACAAGAUUUCCAAUAAGACUACAACAUGGUUUCACAGGUGGAGUUCCAAGUGUUACAUUUAACAAACCACUAAGCACAUUAGCACAAACACCUAAUUUCAAGGCAUCUUUUGGGCAUUUGCCUUCUUUUGAAUAAGGAGGAGGGGGGCAUGGCUU